rnacentral:rRNA from 1 species
GCCAGCCGUCGCCACCCUGAACAAGCCUGAUCCCGUCUGAUCUCGGAAGCUAAGUAGGGUCGGGCCUGGUUAGUACUUGGAUGGGAGACUAGCUAGAAAGACCAGGUGCUGUAGGCG